UUUUUUUGCUUCUUAGUGGAAGUUCCCAGGCUAGGGUUCAAAUCAGAGCUACAGCUGCCAGCCUGCAUCACAGCCACAGCAACUCGGGAUCAAGCUGUGUCUGUGACCUACACCACAGCUCACAGCAACACAGGAUCCUUAACCCACUGAAGGAGGCUAGGGACAAACCCAAACUAAUGGAUAUUAGUUGGGUUCGCUACUGCUGAGCCACAAAGGGAACUCCUAACUCUUCUCUUUAAUAAAUGUUUUUAUCAUUUUUCAUAUUUUUCCCAUUAUCAUUUAUUAUAGGAUAUUGAAUGUACUUCCCUGUGAUAUACAAUAGGACCUUGUUUAUCUAUUCUAUAUAUAAUAGUUUGCAUCUGCUAAUUCCAAACUCCCAGUUCAUCCCUCCCCCACCCCUUUUCCCCUUGGCAACCACAAGUCCGUUCUCUAUGUCUUUUGAGUCUGUUUCUGUUUCGUAGAUAUAUUCAUUUGCGUCAUAUUUUAGAUUCCACAUACAAGUGAUAUAUGGUAUUUGUUUCUUUCUUUCUGACUUACUUCACUUGUUUAAUACACAGCUUUACUAUAAGCCUCAGCCCCCAUUAAGAAAUAUGCAGACUAGGAGUUCCCAUCAUGGCACAGCAGAAGCAACUCUGACUAGGAACCAUGAGGUUGUGGGUUCGGUCCCUGGCUUUGCUCAGCAGGUUAAGGAUCUGGCAUUGCUGUGAGCUGUGUGUAGGUAGCAGAUGAGGCUCAAAUCUGGCAUUGCUGUGGCUGUGGUGUAGGCCGACGGCUGCAGCUCUGAUUUUGAGCCAUAGCCUGGGAACUUCCAUAUACCUCAGGUGUGGCCCUAAAAAGAUUAAAAAAAAAAAAAGUUUAAAAAUCCUCAAAAGGAUAGGUUGCAUGGACCCAAUGAGGAACAAAGAGGGAGAAUAAAUUGAACGUGAGCCACAAUCAGUAAAAUGAGGUCAUUAAAUCCCCAAGAGAUGAGAUCAGGUUAGUUACACUUACAAAAAUCACCUUCUAUCCUAAAGAACAAGUACCUUUAAGAAAAAUAACUGACAUGGGCAGAUGUUAUUUAAAACUUUACAGAAAUUGAGCACUUAGGUUUUUACAAAACAUCGAUUCAGAGGUAUUGAUUUUUUAAAACAGGCAACACAUAACCAAAGCAUCCUGUCCAUUUGGCAUCUAUCUUAACCUGCCUGGAAAAAAAAAAACAAAAACAAACAAACAACAACCAAAAAAAACACUAACUGAGGGUUUCAGGAAUGACUCAUACAUCAAGGUGACUUUUAAAAGUUUAUCUGAAGGCGGCCAGACAAUAAUGAUAAUGUGAGCCAUCCGUCCCCACGUCCCAACGUUCUACUCUAGAUUCAGAUGACACAGGCCCUAGCAUCAACCUCAGACUUGCACAGCUAAGGAUGCCCAGAAUGCAGGUUUCCACCUAAGUAAUCCCAUGCAGACUAGAAGUUUAACUUGAAGGUACCAAACAGUGUUGACAGGAAAAAGUAGAAAUAUAAAAAUCACUAUCCAGAAGUUCUCACUGUAACUGACUAGUAUCCAUGAGGAGGCAGGUUCGAUCCCUGGCCUCACUCACAGGUUAAGGAUCCGGUGCUGCUGCAAGCUGUGGCAUAGGUUGCAGAUGCAGCUUGGAUCUGGCAUUGCUGUGGCUGUGGUUAGGCCUGAAGCUGCAGCUCAAAUUUGACCCCUAGCCUGGGAACUGCCAUAUUGCACAGGUGAGGCCCUAAAGAGAAAAAAAAAAAGAAAAAUCACUAUCCAAAACAAAUCUUUUAUCAGGUCAGUGUUUAUGAAAUAUUGGUAGCAUUUGAUAAGAGAGAUGGUUGUACAGUACCAUCACAGAGACAUCCAACCCUGAACUGUCUCAUUUACCUCCUUCACAUCCAGCUAGGAUUAAAAAGAAAUCUUUUCGAUGACACAUCAUAU
rnacentral:lncRNA from 1 species